rnacentral:rRNA from 1 species
GAGUUUGAUCAUGGCUCAGAUUGAACGCUGGCGGCAGGCCUAACACAUGCAAGUCGAGCGGCAGCACGGGGAGCUUGCUCCCUGGUGGCGAGCGGCGGACGGGUGAGUAAUGCAUGGGAAUCUGCCCGGUAGUGGGGGAUAACCCGGGGAAACCCGGGCUAAUACCGCAUACGUCCUACGGGAGAAAGCAGGGGAUCUUCGGACCUUGCGCUAUCGGAUGAGCCCAUGUCGGAUUAGCUUGCUGGUGAGGUAACGGCUCACCAGGGCGACGAUCCGUAGCUGGUCUGAGAGGAUGAUCAGCCACACCGGGACUGAGACACGGCCCGGACUCCUACGGGAGGCAGCAGUGGGGAAUAUUGGACAAUGGGGGAAACCCUGAUCCAGCCAUGCCGCGUGUGUGAAGAAGGCUUUCGGGUUGUAAAGCACUUUCAGCGGGGAAGAAGGCAUGGCGGCUAAUACCCGCCAUGAAGGACAUCACCCGCAGAAGAAGCACCGGCUAACUCCGUGCCAGCAGCCGCGGUAAUACGGAGGGUGCAAGCGUUAAUCGGAAUUACUGGGCGUAAAGGGCGCGUAGGCGGCCUGCCAAGCCGGAUGUGAAAGCCCCGGGCUCAACCCGGGAACGGCAUUCGGAACUGGCAGGCUAGAGUGCAGGAGAGGAAGGUGGAAUUCCCGGUGUAGCGGUGAAAUGCGUAGAGAUCGGGAGGAAUACCAGUGGCGAAGGCGGCCUUCUGGACUGACACUGACGCUGAGGCGCGAAAGCGUGGGUAGCAAACAGGAUUAGAUACCCUGGUAGUCCACGCCGUNAACGAUGUCGACCAGCCGUUGGACCCCCUGAGGGUCUGGUGGCGCAGUUAACGCAAUAAGUCGACCGCCUGGGGAGUACGGCCGCAAGGCUAAAACUCAAAUGAAUUGACGGGGGCC